UACGUAGGGUGCAAGCGUUGUCCGGAAUUAUUGGGCGUAAAGGGCUCGUAGGCGGUCUGUCGCGUCGGGAGUGAAAACUCAGGGCUUAACCCUGAGCCUGCUUCCGAUACGGGCAGACUAGAGGUAUGCAGGGGAGAACGGAAUUCCUGGUGUAGCGGUGAAAUGCGCAGAUAUCAGGAGGAACACCGGUGGCGAAGGCGGGUCUCUGGGCCGUAACUGACGCUGAGGAGCGAAAGCAUGGGGAGCGAACAGG
rnacentral:rRNA from 1 species